rnacentral:other from 1 species
GUGUCCCUGCGAUGUGCGUGAGGGAAGGAAGUUUUUGAGCCAACACCAUAAUAUUGGGAGCCUGCCUUUAGGUGUGGCUGUAGACCUUGCAGGUAAAAAGCAAGGGAACAUUAAGCAUCUAAGAGGGCACCCACUUGCUUAAUGGGUUCAAAAGACAACCUUUUGCACGGCAUUAGCGGGGAUUUU